AAGGCGGUAGUUUAACGGGCAAAACCUGUGCAGAAAAAUGUUUCAUGUUUGUGGAACGUACAGCAAAUUUUUCGUAGAGGAUAAGGCACAGAAUGCAGGUUCAAGUCCUGCCCGCCUUA
rnacentral:tRNA from 1 species